CUACGGCCAUAUUAUGUUGAAACACUGGUUCUCGUAUGAUCACUGACGAUAAGCAAUGUUGAGUCUGGUCAGUACCAAGAUGGGUGACCACUUC